ensembl:lncRNA
CAUCUCUCUACCUGACAAGAGUACGAGAGUCAAGAAUAGAGAUCUGACUGACUUCAUGCUCCCAUUCUCCUCCACCAUCACCUCGGAGCACCUGCAGAUAAAAAGGGAUUAUCCUAUGCACCCAUGGAAGAUGGACAAAAUGGAGGAGCGGAAGGUCCACCCGAGGUCUGAGGUCGUGAACGGGCAGAGAUGCAGCGAUGACCUACAAAGAUAGGGCAGUGUCGAUGUCAUCCCUCCCUCCAGCCCUUGCCUAGGCCUCAAGCCAUCCCAAAUUUAGACCUAAUCCUGAGGAAUGAAAGGAAAGGCUUUGGCCACCACCAUUCUAUUUUUGAUUUCCAAAGAGAAAAUAUUAAAUAAAAAAAGAAGAAGAGAAGAGCAU